AGAGUUUGAUCAUGGCUCAGGACGAACGCUGGCGGCGUGCCUAACACAUGCAAGUCGUACGAGGACACCCCUUCGGGGGUGAGCCGAGUGGCGGACGGGUGCGUAACACGUGACCAAUCUGCCUUCGAGAGGGGGAUAACCUGGGGAAACUCGGGCUAAUACCGCAUGACGUGUCGUGCUCGCAUGGGCGUGACACCAAAGGAAGGCCUCUACUUGUAAGCUUUCGCUCGAAGAGGAGGUCGCGGCGUAUCAGCUAGUUGGUAGGGUAACGGCCUACCAAGGCUACGACGCGUAGCGGGUCUGAGAGGACGACCCGCCACAUUGGGACUGAGAUACGGCCCAGACUCCUACGGGAGGCAGCAGUGGGGAAUAUUGCGCAAUGGCCGAAAGGCUGACGCAGCGACGCCGCGUGUGGGAGGAAGCCCUUCGGGGUGUAAACCACUGUCGGGAGGGACGAAUCGCGAGCGGGCAAAUAGUCCGAGCGCUUGACGGUACCUCCAAAGGAAGCACCGGCUAACUCCGUGCCAGCAGCCGCGGUAAGACGGAGGGUGCAAGCGUUGUUCGGAAUUACUGGGCGUAAAGCGCGGGCAGGUGGUCCUUUAAGUCCUUUGUGAAAUUCCGGGGCUCAACCCCGGCUCUGCAUAGGAUACUGGAGGACUGGAGACUGGUAGAGGCGAGCGGAAUUCCUGGUGUAGCGGUGGAAUGCGUAGAUAUCAGAAGAACACCGGUGGCGAAGCGGCUCGCUGGGCCAGUUCUGACACUCAUCCGCGAAAGCGUGGGGAGCAACAGAUUAGAUACCCUGGUAGUCCACGCCGUAAACGAUGGGCACUAGAUGCCGGGCCUAUAGACGGGUUCGGUGUCGCAGCUACGCAUUAGUGCCCGCCUGGGGAGUACGGCGCAGGCUGAACUCAAA
rnacentral:rRNA from 1 species